AGAUCCAGCACGAGAAGGAGUCCUGUUUGCUGUCCCAGCUGGAAAAUCUGCACAUGGAAAUACAGAAAUAAGGGAAAGAAAGCCUCACCAGGCUUUCAGAGGAGCUGUUGAGAGUGGGCAGGUUGAUUGAGGAGAUGGAGAGGAAAUGCCAGCAGCCAGGCUGUGGAAUCCUGAAGGACAUUGACAACAACUUGAGCAGGUAGGUGGUCCUUCUAUCAAAACCAAGCAUCAUCUCAGACCAAGUUUGUGGCCAGUGCUGGUGGCUCCCUGUGUGAUCCAAACACGGGAUGAAGCAAAUUAGAGAACAUCUGCAAGGGUGAUGUGCGAUCACAUUGUCUAUUUUGCUGACUUUAUUGUGCUCUACCAAGUCUUUUUUCUGCCAGCUUCUUUCAAAGGGGAGAAAAUCCACCCACGGUUCCUAGUGGAUGGCUGCACUCACCUCGACCUCCUUCCUUAAGGUACAGGAAAAAAAAAAAAA